GCAUUGGUAGUUCAUUGGUAGAAUUCUCCCCUUCAGUGCAAGAGAACUGGGCUCAAUUCCUAGCCAAUCUA
rnacentral:tRNA from 1 species